UGGAGCAUGUGGUUUAAUUCGAAGCAACGCGAAGAACCUUUACCAGGUCUUGACAUCCCGAUGCUAUUUCUAGAGAUAGAAAGUUACUUCGGUACAUCGGUGACAGGUGGUGCAUGGUUGUCGUCAGCUCGUGUCGUGAGAUGUUGGGUUAAGUCCCGCAAUGAGCGCAACCCCUAUUGUUAGUUGCCAUCAUUCAGUUGGGCACUCUAGCGAGACUGCCGGUAAUAAACCGGAGGAAGUGGGGGUGACGUCAAAUCAUCAUGCCCCUUAUGACCUGGGCUACACACGUGCUACAAUGGUUGGUACAACGAGUUGCGAGUCGGUGACGGCGAGCUAGUCUCUUAAAGCCAAUCUCAGUUCGGAUUGUAGGCUGCAACUCGCCUACAUGAAGUCGGAAUCGCUAGUAAUCGCGGAUCAGCACGCCGCGGUGAAUACGUUCCCGGGCCUU
rnacentral:rRNA from 1 species